rfam:Nicotiana attenuata strain TT chromosome 9, whole genome shotgun sequence.
UGGACAUAUUAUUGUAUUCGACUGUAUUCACGGCGUGAAACAGGGGAUUACACUGUUUUUAAACGGAAAAUGUAUCAAUUAACAUAAUAGACUCCU